rnacentral:rRNA from 1 species
GGCUCAUGAUGAACGCUAGCUACAGGCUUAACACAUGCAAGUCGAGGGGCAGCAUCAUCAAAGCUUGCUUUGAUGGAUGGCGACCGGCGCACGGGUGAGUAACACGUAUCCAACCUGCCGACAACACUGGGAUAGCCUUUCGAAAGAAAGAUUAAUACCGGAUGGCAUAGUUUUCCCGCAUGGGAUAAUUAUUAAAGAAUUUCGGUUGUCGAUGGGGAUGCGUUCCAUUAGGCAGUUGGCGGGGUAACGGCCCACCAAACCGACGAUGGAUAGGGGUUCUGAGAGGAAGGUCCCCCACAUUGGAACUGAGACACGGUCCAAACUCCUACGGGAGGCAGCAGUGAGGAAUAUUGGUCAAUGGACGAGAGUCUGAACCAGCCAAGUAGCGUGAAGGAUGACUGCCCUAUGGGUUGUAAACUUCUUUUAUACGGGAAUAAAGUUAGCCACGUGUGGCUUUUUGUAUGUACCGUAUGAAUAAGGAUCGGCUAACUCCGUGCCAGCAGCCGCGGUAAUACGGAGGAUCCGAGCGUUAUCCGGAUUUAUUGGGUUUAAAGGGAGCGUAGGCGGGUUGUUAAGUCAGUUGUGAAAGUUUGCGGCUCAACCGUAAAAUUGCAGUUGAUACUGGCGACCUUGAGUGCAACAGAGGUAGGCGGAAUUCGUGGUGUAGCGGUGAAAUGCUUAGAUAUCACGAAGAACUCCGAUUGCGAAGGCAGCUUACUGGAUUGUAACUGACGCUGAUGCUCGAAAGUGUGGGUAUCAAACAGGAUUAGAUACCCUGGUAGUCCACACAGUAAACGAUGAAUACUCGCUGUUGGCGAUAUACAGUCAGCGGCCAAGCGAAAGCAUUAAGUAUUCCACCUGGGGAGUACGCCGGCAACGGUGAAACUCAAAGGAAUUGACGGGGGCCCGCACAAGCGGAGGAACAUGUGGUUUAAUUCGAUGAUACGCGAGGAACCUUACCCGGGCUUAAAUUGCAACUGACUGAACCGGAAACGGUUCUUUCUUCGGACAGUUGUGAAGGUGCUGCAUGGUUGUCGUCAGCUCGUGCCGUGAGGUGUCGGCUUAAGUGCCAUAACGAGCGCAACCCUUAUCGAUAGUUACUAGCAGGUCAUGCUGAGGACUCUAUUGAGACUGCCGUCGUAAGAUGUGAGGAAGGUGGGGAUGACGUCAAAUCAGCACGGCCCUUACGUCCGGGGCUACACACGUGUUACAAUGGGGGGUACAGAAGGCAGCUACACGGCGACGUGGUGCUAAUCCCGAAAGCCUCUCUCAGUUCGGAUUGGAGUCUGCAACCCGACUCCAUGAAGCUGGAUUCGCUAGUAAUCGCGCAUCAGCCACGGCGCGGUGAAUACGUUCCCGGGCCUUGUACACACCGCCCGUCAAGCCAUGAAAGCCGGGGGUACCUGAAGUACGUAACCGCAAGGAGCGUCCUAGGGUAAAA